rnacentral:tRNA from 1 species
GGAGUAUAGCUCAGUUUUGGUAGAGCAACGCCCUUUUAAGGCGUGGGUCAGGGGUUCGAAUCCCCUUACUCCC